rnacentral:rRNA from 1 species
GUCCUUUAGAGAAGAAUUUAAGGUUUAACCUGCCCACUGAUUAAUUAAAUGGCCGCAGUAAUUUGACUGUGCAAAGGUAGCAUAAUCAUUAGUUUUUUAAUUAAAAGCUUGUAUGAAUGGUUGGACGAAAUAAAAACUGUCUUUGGAUAAUAAGUAGAAUUUAAUUUUUGAGUUAAAAAGCUUAAAUAGUUAUAAAAGACGAGAAGACCCUAUAGAUCUUUAUAAUAUUUUAUGUAUAUUUAAUUAAGAUUAUUUUAUUAUUUAUAUAAUAUAUUAUUUUAUUGGGGUAAUAAAAAGAUUAGAUUAAUUCUUUAUAGUUUGUAUAUAAAUUAAUAAAUUUUUGAUCCUUUAUUAGAGAUUAUAAGAUUAAGUUACCUUAGGGAUAACAGCGUAAUUUUUUUAGAGAGUUCAUAUCGAUAAGAAAGUUUGCGACCUCGAUGUUGGAUUAAAAAUUAUUCUAGGUGUAGUAGUUUAGAAUUUUGGUCUGUUCGACCAUUAAAUUUUU